rnacentral:rRNA from 1 species
CCUACGGGAGGCAGCAGUGAGGAAUAUUGGUCAAUGGCCGUAAGGCUGAACCAGCCAAGUAGCGUGAGGGAAGACUGCCCUAUGGGUUGUAAACCUCUUUUAUGCGGGGAUAAAGGUGUCCACGUGUGGAUGUUUGCAGGUACCGCAUGAAUAAGGACCGGCUAAUUCCGGGCCGGCAGCCGCGGUAAUACGGAAGGUCCGGGCGUUAUCCGGAUUUAUUGGGUUUAAAGGGAACGUAGGCCGGUCUUUAAGCGUGCCGGGAAAUUUUGUGGCUCAACCAUGAGAGUGCGGCGCGAACUGGAGACCUUGAGUGCGCGGAAGGCAGGCGGAAUUCGUGGUGUAGCGGUGAAAUGCUUAGAUAUCACGAAGAACCCCGAUUGCGAAGGCAGCCUGCCGCAGCGUUACUGACGCUGAAGUUCGAAAGCGCGGGUAUCGAACAGGAUUAGAUACCCCAGUAGUC